rnacentral:rRNA from 1 species
UACAGAGGUCUCAAGCGUUUGUUCGGAUUCAUUGGGCGUAAAGGGUGCGUAGGCGGCGCGGUAAGUCGGGUGUGAAAUCUCGGGGCUUAACUCCGAAACUGCAUUCGAUACUGCCGUGCUUGAGGACUGGAGAGGAGACUGGAAUUUACGGUGUAGCGGUGAAAUGCGUAGAUAUCGUAAGGAAGACCAGUGGCGAAGGCGGGUCUCUGGACAGUUCCUGACACUGAGGCAACGAAGGCCCAGGGGGAGCAAAACGGGGA